UUAGAAGGGAGUUCUCUACAAAGAAUAGCCUGCUCCAGUGCUGGCCUGAGAUUUGGACCACAACAAAUGCUCAGCGUGGCAAGCUUCUAGAGUCAGCAAGAGAUCCUCAAAUUAAGAUGGAGUUCCAAGGCAAAGAUUAAAUGUGUAUCACCUGGUAACAUAGGC